CGAGUUUGAAUUGGGCAAGUUGCAAGUCGGUAGAUUUGCUCCGCAGUUUCCCGGAUACCAGCAUCCUGCAUCGCGAGAACUACUCUACGUUGUUCUGAGGGGGCUUAGACGAACAUCUGAAUCCGAUUUUGAAGAAGUCUUGCAUCGAUGGACACUGACAAAAUAUAGGCAGAUUCGUAAUUAUAAAGAAUUGGGAAAGAAAAUUGACGGAGGCUCAGUGCCAAACAAAUUAUGGUAGUUGGAAUGAUUACCGAAGCUCUUCGGAUUCGUUUAUUUCACGCGUUAUGGUAUUUAAAGAAAAUAAACGUGUACCUGGGCCCCUUUGUAUCUGUGACCCGAUUUCCUCUUCACUUGUGAUAAUUCUGCAGCGGGUCAUGCAGAUACUGCGAUCAGCAGAGAAGGUUAGAAGUGCGCUGCCCGGAAAGCAAAUUUGGGGUAAAAGAAAAAAACUUAUUCCAACUAGUAAGCCAUUUCCAAAUUCAACCAACAAAAAGGUGGAAGGAAAAACUUUGUUCUCAGGUAGUUUUUUAGUUAAAAUCCUUUUUGUGUUUAUUCAUUUUUGAAAUUGUUUACUUCAUUUUUGAAUGGUUCCGUUCACAUUUGUUGUUCAUGUGAGAUGUUAUAUUUACCAGUUACUGCAUUAUAUUUACCACUAUUGCAAGAUGUUUGUUUAGGAAUUACUACUGUUUUGUUUAUCUGGCAUGUUGUGUGGGAGUCCAUCUGGAAUUGCUGGUCUGCAGUAAAUUUGUCAGGCUAGGUGAUGAAGAUCAAUGAAUCAGAAAAUGUUUUGCAUGGGUGGUGAAUGUUCUGACAGUUUUAACAGUUGUGAGGUGGUGUAUUUCACUUCCACGCAUCAUGUAGAAGUUGGUGACCUGAUACAAUGAACAUGGAAAAAUCACCUGCGCCCACGUUGACGAUGAUACCUGUACCGAAGUGCUGGAAACUAAAAUUAAUUUUCUUUACAAUUUGGUUUCAGGCUAUCUUUAUAAUUUCUUAAUAGUUUUGCGUUUAUUGAUGAGUCCGCAAGCUCUUAGCUGAUUUCCUCCUUUAGAUACCGCCUGUCGACGAUUGGACAGCCUCACACAAUUAAAGAACGCCAAAGUGAGCUCUUCCGAGCAGAAAAGUGACGGCGUAUCCAUUUAAUUGAAAAUAGGCACAAGAUAACGCACAAUUAGCGUCCUUGUCUCAAUGGAGAAAUUUUGCCGUGGAACUUAUAACCGAAAUACCAUUGCAGCUGUUCAAAAAAAGAAAAGUGUAUUAUCAUACAGAUGUUGACUAGCUAACAAUCCAGAGAUACGUCAACUUGCGAAAUUUCUAGAUGUGUGUGAAGCGCAAUCAGCAUCCUUGUUGAACU